rnacentral:rRNA from 1 species
UACGUAGGGUGCAAGCGUUAAUCGGAAUUACUGGGCGUAAAGCGUGCGCAGGCGGUUAUGUAAGACAGUUGUGAAAUCCCCGGGCUCAACCUGGGAACUGCAUCUGUGACUGCAUAGCUAGAGUACGGUAGAGGGGGAUGGAAUUCCGCGUGUAGCAGUGAAAUGCGUAGAGAUGCGGAGGAACACCGAUGGCGAAGGCAGCCCCCUGGGCUGACACUGACGCUCAGGCACGAAAGCGUGGGGAGCAAACAGG